GGCAAAAGGCAUGGUUUGAACAAGUGAAGUUUGCCGAAAUUAGUCAGCCAGUACUAGCCUGCAGGCCACAAUUAGCAAUCCCACUCCAGUCUAAUGGAACUGUGAACACAACUGUGCUAUUGAAAAAGAGAGAAAUAUAAUCUGCCUCUUCCGAUGCAAACAGAAGCAAUCCUUUGCAAUCUUUCUGGCCUAACGUUGGCUUGACUUUAUGAGGUUAUAACAUGCUUUAAGUACAACUUUCAGGUUAGCAUCCCCAGUGAAAUAAUAUGUGGAAGAUGCUGUAUUAAUGGGCUUUCGUGCAUUUUCUUUAAGAAAACGGACGCUUAUAAUUCCUCCAGGACUCGGUUUUGUCAAGUUAUUAGCCACUCUCAAGUCAAAAGCUUGAUUGAGGUGAAAACCUGGAAGUGACAUACGCCUAGCGGAAAUUCCUGGAGUGAGAUUGUGGUUUUAAACUAGAAAAAUAAUCCCACGACGGAGACGGACGAGAUUGAAUAUACAAUGAUUUAUGGAUACGAAGAACUGAGCCUGCUAGGUGUCCAAGGGUCCUGGAACAGAUGAGGGGGAGGACAAUUAACGGGGAUCGGCACAAAAUUGAGAUGUGAUCAGAGGAGAAUUUGUGGCGAGUUGGAUGUCUUUGGCAAGCUGUGAGGACGAUCUGCCAUUGGCUCCCUGCUAGCCCCUCCCACUCCCGCCGAACCCCCGGCGCUGUCCCAGAUGGCGCUACCGCCCCAGAACGUUCUGAGUGGAAUGAGUCACGGAAAGACAAGCAGGAGAGGGAACCGAGCAGCGGGAUCAGCGCGCUCCUCUCCCCGGGCCUCCGGAUGAGAGCCGCGCCGCAGGACGGCGGCCUCCGCCCCCGCUCCCGACUCCGAUGCCAAGCGCGGAGGAACGACCGCCGAUCUCGCCG